CAAAAAUUAACAUAAGGAAUAAUGUGUCUCACUUACGUUGAGAAUAUAAUUUGUAUAAAUUAUUUUUGA
rnacentral:tRNA from 1 species